rnacentral:lncRNA from 1 species
UCUAGCUGCCACCGCCCCGGCGGCCUGUUAACUUCUGCAAAACGCUGUUUUAUGUACAAGUUUGCUCUUCGUCAGUUCAGCAAUUACCAGGGUGAGCCUAAGGAUUCAUUGGUUUGAUCGUUUCUUUGGUUAUUCCAAGUAAACUAGCUUUCCCCGAAAUCACUUCGUUCUUUCAUUUCGCUCAAGGAUUACCCCGGAAAUUUGUCUACGGCGGAAAUUGUACAAUCAGUAAAUUGUCCUUCACAGCUUUUUUUGAAGGAAAUCAUUUAGACCCAAAGGAGAGUAGUUUGUUUUGUGCUUGAG